AGAUAAAGGCCUCCUGAACAAGGUGAGGCAGCUGCCAGAAAGAAUCAGAAGAACCAAGGAACAUGAACCUGUCACCACAUGGUCCCUGAUAUGUCCCUAGGAAAUCAUUCUGAACUUCUGGGCAUCCUGACCUUCCAGAAGCAUCUUCACCAAAACAGAAACCAGUACAGCAAGAACAAAACCAUCUCGAGUGUGUAGCAUAUCAUGGCAUCUGACUCUCCCGCUCCUACCGUGAAGACUGAAGCAAAUUUUUCUCAGAUCCCAGUUUCACCUCCCAGCAGAACCCAGGAUCUCUGAGAUCCUUAGAUUUUUUCCACUUUCUCCUGGGCAUGAGAGUCUGUGGAGGCCACUCAUUCUCUCUCCAAUGUCAUGAGGUGGAUCAGUAUGCAAAUUUCUAAACUAAGCCUGGGAUAGCUUCCUGCAGCUUGGGAGGGGCGGACCCACCCACCGGAUUGGCCAUAUGUUCUCUGAAGACUUCCAUGCCUUGAAGUAUGGAACGUGCAGGUGAGCUAUGGCUGGCCCUUCAUAUCUUCCUUCCAUGCCUUCAACUACUGUGGGCUGGCCCUCCUGAUUGUCUUCCUCCAACCCAC